CCACCAACACCGAGCUCUCUCUCUCUCUCUCUCUCUUUCGUUCCUCUCCCACCUUCUUUUUCCUUCCCCUCCGUUCGUUCUGGCUCCUCCGUCAUUCCCCUCCAGCCCCUACCCUACGAAAUACCGAUCCUCUCCACCACGUCCCUCACCUGUGGCUCGUUCCUGCGGCCGCAGGGGCCGCUGGCUGACUCCCCAGGUCGACUGACUGAGCUGACUGUCUCUACGGCUGGCUGGCUCGGCGUAACCACCCAGCCACUCGACCAGCCAGCCACCUUCCUUCUCUUGCGUGUGUAUCGCAGGUCGGCUGGAGUUUACCUGGCGUUACCUGCCAGCCUGCAGCCUCAGUUCACUCACGUCACUUCGAGCAACCGGUUCGCGGAGUCCUCCCGGCUGCGGCUCCUACGACUUUAAAAGCCUCCUCUCUGCCUCAAUUUUUUCCUUCUACGUACGCACGUAACCGCCGAUCUUCUUCCUUGCCCAACUCUCUGCCGUAACCCCUUCUCUCUUCCCUUCCUUCGCUUCUUCUUAUACUAUUUCUUCUUCUUCUUUUUCCUCUUCGUCUUUUUCUUCUUCUUCUUCUUUUCUACUUAGUUCGACGUCUCUUGGUCGCGGUCUUCUUCCUCCGUUGCUGCUCGUCCAUCCUCGUAUACGCGUGAUGUUUUCAUCGGAAAGAAGAAAAUAUACCGUCUCGUGGUGACUCGUUUACUGGAUCGGAACAUGGAACGAUCGAGAUACAAACGAGUCGUGUUCCGUAAAUAAUACAUUGUCUCUCGGGUUCUACGUUCAACGUUCGAGAAAAUACAAGGCGUGAAGGAAACAGGGAAUGUGGACGCUGGAAACUGGACGACACAGUGAAAUGUUGAUGCCACUCUUCGGAAGAAGGUAUUGCCACGGUCAGUGAGGAAGGUAUGGUGGAAGAGAUCUGUUUGCCAAUAAGAGAUCUGUACCGAGCAUCAUUCUCUUUCGACCACAGAGGUACACAGAUAUUGGGAAUUAUCGUUUCUCAGGCUGGAUACACGUACCAGAGCUUGGACUCUGUAAAUGGCACUGGAAGAAUUCACGGGGGAUAUAAAGAAACGGGCCCGUGGAGCUCCCGUGUCAUACACAGCGUCCGGCUAUGCAACGCGAUAAGCUCGAGGGAAAAUGAUGCACGUACGUCAUCGAGGGCAUCAUUAUCAAUCUUUAAAUAAAAAAGAAGAAAAAAAAAUUCGUCGUAUUCAGGUCAGAAGUAAUCGAACAACUGGAAUACCCGGAAAUCGUCCAACUCGUUUACGUGACAAGUAUAUAACCAGUAUCAACAAAAGUGGUAACACCGGGGAGGAAUCAGGCUGUACGAAGAUAAGAGAUCGUUAACGUACGUCACGGAACGUGGGGUCGACUUUUUCGAGCUCGACGACGAAGAAGAAAUUCUUUUAGAGCGGGCCUCGAAAUCGAACGAAUCAGCGACGAUAACGUUCUCGUUCCAUCUGGGGGGAAAAAAAAUAAUUAUAAACGGGCCUAAUUGGAGAAGGGGAAAAAAGGACUUUUUUUAACGCUAUGGAUGACAACAUUUUGUAUAUCGAUUUCUCGGAUUACGUGCACGUGGUGGACGAAAGCUCGACCAUCGUCGACUUGGCAACAGGCGACUUGGCGACCUUCCUCGAUGAAAAGGCGGCGCGAUGGCGAACAUAGCACAGGGAUACGAGGAAGAAGGCGCGCACAUUUGUCGAGCGAGAAAUGCUUGUCCACGUGGAAGAGGGGAACGAGACGAAGACGGGUGGCUAACCGGAAAUACAGCUCGCUCAGGCAAAAGAAGAAAGUGUCAGAGAAAAAGGCUACGGCCAGGGUCUGCGUGGAUCGAUUCGCGACGCGACUCGACGAGCAACACCUGUCGCACGAGUCAACCGAGUAAGUGCAUUCGUCCCUUCUUUCAUUGUUCACGAUGAAAAGGUUGGGGAAACGUACGGGGAAUAUCAUUUGAAUCCCGUUUUUGCGCGGUCAUCCUAUUAGCGGGAACGCGGUAAUACCGUAAAAGAGAUUCGAGAUUAGGCGAUUUAUGAGGAGGGAUGGAUUUUUGAGAGAAGAAUUCUUCUUUCUGGUCGGAUGCGCGAACAACGAUCGGAUAGUCGAAUCUCAUCAUUCGGAUUCUUGACACGCACGACAUCGAGAACGCGUGUCAUCGAUCAGAAUGUAAACCGGCAACGAAAUAAGGUUUACCCGUCCAAUAAAACGGACGAAUCAUAAUGGCAACGUUUGAUUACCUGUUGCGUCACACCUGUUGCCGUCCAUACGCGAACCACGUGACGGUAGUGGCCGUGAAAAGAUUUUCUCAUUGUGUCCCGACGUUUGUAUCGAUCGUGUGGACGAGCCCGAUGCCAACGUUAUACGUUUAAAGUGGCCAAACAGCGUAUUGCGAUUAUACGUGUAUAUAUAUAUGUAUAUACCUUUUCUGCAUCCACACGUGAAAUCAAUAGGGGUAACGAACACGAAACGAUACAUAAUGUUAAUUGCUUUCGUAUCGUCGAUCCUAAGAUGCCAAAUGGAGAAGCGGGCGAACAAGUGGGCCACACCAUCGAUGGAUUCUAGAAUCCAUUUUCCAAGUUAGAGUUGGGGUUACUUAUCAUCAUGCAGGUGUCGUGCGAUAAUCUUCUCUGUAAACGACAAACGUUGUUCUUUUUUUUCUUUUUUUUUGCUUUCCACGCGUCAUUACACAUGCUGGUAAGGUGACUCAACUGUUAUGCAUUUUACCAGAUACGGAAUAUUUUAUAAUCGGGACUGUUUCUAGGCAUCUAGGAGUCCUGUUAAGCGAAUUUGCAACUUGUUCGCGGAGGAUCUUCACCUCUCUCUUUGAAAGGAAUAUUUUCGAUCUCUGAUGUCGAUAAAGCACCUUCCCGUUUGAUCGUGCUCGCGUCCUCGUAAGAAUCUUUCGAUCUCAUUGUUCGUGGGCAGCAGGGCAGAAAGCGGCGCUUCCGGUUUCAAGUUGGCUCGCAGCACGACGACGGCAGACAGAGCAUAGGGCCCGGUUGCAUCGUUCGGCCAAACACCUGCACCGCAUUUCACGGGUAAAAGGAUCAAGGUCUGCACGAGCUUACAUACGCCUCGUUACGCAACACACAAACCAAGUGGUAUAUAAUUGAAGGUGAUUCGAUAUAAAAAUCGAAGGAAAUCGAUGGAGAAUUAAAGCGAAUCGUUCGCAGUAUACGUGAGUAUCGGGAACAGGUAAUCGCCUUCUCUUUUUUUAUAUUUCAUUUUUACUUUUCGUUCAAACUAUAAUAAACGCGAUUAAAGAAAUUGGUGGCGGAUGAUAAUUUAGAAAAUUUAAUCAUACUUACAGCCAGGCUCGAUCGAUGGAAAAUUGUCAUGGCGAACCAACGAGCGCUUCGUGGAACCGGAAGUCUCCGUGAGACCACCGUGGAUGUUCGAAAAUAUAAUAUGUAUCUCGUAUCAUCUUCUAUCCGUAUCUGGAAACCACUCGAAACAUAAGUGUUAUCGUUUUGUAUAUCGCGUGUAAUACCUGUUAUUACUAUCAAUAGUAGAAUGAUACAUCGAGAAUAUUGGCUUAACUCGCGUUCGCAAAGCAAACGGUUUCUUUUUAAAAAAUUCAUAAAUACGUGGUUAUUAGUAAAUAUGUAUAACGAUAUAUCGUGGUUAGAUAAAGUAGGUUAUUGGAUGUUAAUAAUCCGAAUUAGCUAUUCACGAACGCGCCCAUCCGCUUCCGAGUACGUGUGCAACCCACACACGGCUUCACGCCCAUGCCACACCAUCGGAGAAUGGUUAACUUUAUGAUUCAUGAAACUUAUCUUUAUGGUCAGGUGAGUAACAUCGCCGGUCCCAUAACAAUGGGGAAAUAUGGACGGCAGACGAAUCCUCAUCGAGCAUAUUGUCAGAUACACGUGAGCAUACACGUAUGCAACGUUUAAUCAACGUGCAUGAGGUCAACGUGUCAUUUGCUCGUGGCCUUUCACCGCGAUCGGAUCAAACCCUUGCCGAUCGUAAAGCAAGAAUAUCUGUCGUGGAAUCGAACGGAGAUAUAUUCGAUAGAAAUAGAAAAUAAUCCGAUCGAUAUUCGCCGAUCGAGCGUUGUAACUAUCCUAUUUAUUUUCUAAACGAAGAAAUACGGAGUUGAUUCACAUCCAGAAGUCGUGGGCGAGCACGAACGUCAUUAAAGUCUGUAACUUUCCCGUCCUUGGCGAGUAAACGAUAUUUUCUGCGGGACCGAAUUGUCCGAUCUUCAUUCUGUCGGUGUCGAUUCUUGGACAAGGGGAGAAUUAUUCCCGCGAAACGACUCUCUGCCGUUGUUUCCAGAUGGUUAACUUCGUUUUGAAAAUGUAAAAAUAAUCGAAGAACGAUAUCUCGUUGUCUCGUCUUUCGAGAGGAAAAUACAAAAUUCUAUUUUGUAUCCUGGUCCGGAUUUUUGAACGCUGUUGAAUUAUUUUUCGAAUCCUCUCGGGAACAUUCGUCUUUUUUUUUUUUUUAAAUUAUCGGCAAUAAAGAAGAUAAAUAUUGACAAGCAGGCGAGAUCAGAAGCGUAUAGGAGAUACAUCAUCGACUUUAUUGCCGAUCCGCGCCGCUCGUGCGAGAAGAAUUACAGUGGGAAAAAUGUUCUGGUUGUAUAGGUUGUAUGAAUAAAAGAAACGAUAUUCCAGAGAGAAAGAGAGAGAGAAAGAGAGAGA